CAUAUACCAUGGAUUCGGGUGUGGCGGGGUCCAUAUCCAUAGCUAAACUGGGCUUCCAUUUCCACACACUUUAUCCAGUGAGAUGCUAUUUUAUUUUGGUAGUUCCUUCCUCUUCUCAUCUCUCUGUGUCGCGCCAUGGCCGCAGCAGCGUCAACCUUGUUUUCCCUCUCUUUCCCCACAGAGCCCCAAAUCCCUACCCUCUCUCCACCGUCGCGUUUUCUCCCCUUACCCAAACCCACUCUGAAACGCUCCUCCUCCGUCCACUCCCACUCCCACUCCUCCCUCACGCUCGGCGCCGACGACCCCAUCCACACCGGGCGCUUCCUCUCCGACGACGAGCGCCGCCGCCUCCACGCCCUCGAGAGCUUCCUCUACUGCCGCGACCUCUCCUCCGGCUCCCUCUCCGUCCGCGUCAUGCGCCCCCACCAGAUCCACCUCGCCGUCCGCCUCCUCGCCGACUCCUUCGCCGACUCCCUCCUCCUCCCCGCCGCCUACGCCACCUUCCUCGGCUACCUCAUCAGCCGCUACUUGACCCACCGCGCCACCCUCAUGCCCCACGCCGCCACGCUCCUCGCCUUCUUCACCGCCCAUGACCAAAUUCUCUUCGCCGGAACCGUCGAACUCUCCUUCGACAAAGCAGGCGCCAACGCCUCCGUUCCCGCCCCCGCCCCUCCCGCCGACGCCCCCUACAUCUCCAACAUGGCCGUUGACAAGUCUCUCAGAAGGAGGGGCAUUGGUUGGCAUCUUCUUAAGGCUAGUGAGGAAUUGAUUUCUCAGAUGAGUGCCUCCAGAGAGGUUUACCUGCACUGCAGAAUUAUCGAUGAAGCUCCCUUUAACAUGUAUACCAAAGCUGACUACAAGGUUGUUAAGACAGAUAGUAUUUUAGCCCUGCUCAUGUUGCAGAGACGCAAGCACUUGAUGUGCAAGAAGCUUCCUCCUUUAAUUACGCCUUCUGAAACUGAUCCUGAUCCCUCAGUUUCUGAUGCUUAAAUGCAAUUUGAAUGUGUACACGGGUAAAGGGUUGCAAAAUGUUUUGUCAAGCAAUGAUAGCGAGAUGGUCAUGGUGGUUUUAACUUUGACUGGAGAAUAGAGUGUUUUCAGGCAUCCUUUUUUUUUUCUCUGAUCUGUAGGACAAAUACUGAGUGUGUUACAGGUUCCCAUUGCGCAUAUAUUCAUAUACUAGGAAUCUAUGCUUUCCAUCAGCACAGUAGCCUAUCAAAGAAACAAGAUUUGGGUGGUCUAGUCUGCUCAAGAUGUCAACUUCAACACGAAACUCACGUUCCCCCUCUGCUGCUUUAAUUGCUGGCAACUCCAUUUUCUUGAUUGCUACGACCUUCAGAAGGAGACUUGUUAUAUAGUAUGUUGAAUCAAAUUUACUAAUUUUUAGCCAGUUUAUAAAAAGCAGGGUUUCUGCAUGGAAGCUAUAAACCAUGUUACAAAAUCUUGUGAACUAUGAUGAAUUCCUGUGGGCUAUGAACUUUUUUCCAGUGUAUUACCUCUCCUGACCGUAAAGUGCCCCGGUAGACUUUGCCAAAUCCUCCUUUUCCAAGCAGAUUCUCAUCACUGAAAGAACAGGUUGCCUCUUCCAUCUCCUUCAGUGUGAAAACAGAUGAUCCGUGCAGCUUUUUUGUAGGUCGUGGUGUUUGAUCUUCAAGUUGCCAAAGCUGUGCAGGUUUGUAAACCCCUGAAUAUACAGUUUGUAAAUGUUACAAGUUGGUUGUGCAUUGGAACAGCACUAAAGUACAUGCUUAAACCAUGAAGGAAUAGAAAGAGAGAAAAGAAAGACAAUACAGGGAUCUGUAUGAUCUUGAGACUUGCUUCUGCGGCGCUUGUUCCACGCUGAGACCAAACCAAAUGGCAUGAUUGACUGCUCUAUCCUAUAUGUUAUCUGUUUAAGAAUUGAAAUGUCAGGUUCUAACAAAAGGAACAUACAAGUGAAUAGAGAUGGCUAAUUUAUUUACACA